rnacentral:rRNA from 1 species
UACGUAGGGUGCAAGCGUUGUCCGGAAUUAUUGGGCGUAAAGAGCUCGUAGGCGGUUUGUCGCGUCUGCUGUGAAAACGCGGGGCUCAACUCCGCGCCUGCAGUGGGUACGGGCAGACUAGAGUGCAGUAGGGGAGACUGGAAUUCCUGGUGUAGCGGUGGAAUGCGCAGAUAUCAGGAGGAACACCGGUGGCGAAGGCGGGUCUCUGGGCUGUAACUGACGCUGGAGGAGCGAAAGCCGUGGGUAGCGAACAGG